rnacentral:lncRNA from 1 species
UUAAAAGUCAGAAACUAUUUUUAAUCAAUUAAAAAUGAAUAAAAAUAACCAAAUUGAACUAAAAUCUCAAAUAAAUCUCAAAUCAAUUAAUAAAUUGAUGAAAGUUUGACAAAAAAUUUCAGCAUUUUUAAAAGUCAGAAACUAUUUUUAAUCAAUUAAAAAUGAAUAAAAAUAACCAAAUUGAACUAAAAUCUCAAAUAAAUCUCAAAUCAAUUAAUAAAUUGAUGAUAAUAUUUUUCAUAGAUCCAUCAUCAUUCAAAUAGGUUAGGAAAAUAUUUUUGUAUUUUUUGAAUAUUAAAAACUAUUUAAAAUGAAUUAAAAAUAACAAGAAAA